GAUGAACGCUAGCUACAGGCUUGACACAUGCAAGUCGAGGGGUAACGAGAGGAAAGCUUGCUUUCCUUGUCGACGACCGGCGCACGGGUGAGUAACGCGUAUCCAACCUGCCCCCAACUAGGGAAUAACCUUGCGAAAGUAAGACUAAUACCCUAUAAUUUCCUCAGAUGUCAUCUGACGAGGAAUAAAGAUUUAUCGGUUGUGGAUGGGGAUGCGUCUGAUUAGCUUGUUGGCGGGGUAACGGCCCACCAAGGCAGCGAUCAGUAGGGGUUCUGAGAGGAAGGUCCCCCACAUUGGAACUGAGACACGGUCCAAACUCCUACGGGAGGCAGCAGUGAGGAAUAUUGGUCAAUGGGCGGAAGCCUGAACCAGCCAAGUAGCGUGCAGGAUGACGGCCCUAUGGGUUGUAAAUUGCUUUUAUACAGGAAUAAAGUUAGCCACGUGUGGUUAUUUGUAGGUACUGUAUGAAUAAGGACCGGCUAAUUCCGUGCCAGCCGCCGCCGUAA
rnacentral:rRNA from 1 species